GAUGAACGCUAGCGGCAGACCUAAUACAUGCAAGACGAACGGUAAGUUUGAUAGCAAUAUUGAACCUAGAGUGUCGUAAGGGUGCGUAACACGUAUGCAAUCUACCCUCAACAGGAGGAUAGCUCCCCGAAAGGGGAAGUUAACACUCCAUAAGAUCACAGGAUGGCAUCAUUCAGUGAUUAAAACUACCGGUGGUUGAGGAUGAGCAUGCGCAUGAUUAGUUAGUUGGCGGGGUAAGUGGCCCACCAAGACGAUGAUCAUUAGGGGAACGUGAGAGGUUGAUCCCCCACCACUGGCACUGAGAUACGGGCCAGACUCCUACGGGAGGCAGCAGUAGGGAAUAUUGGACAAUGGGUGCGAGCCUGAUCCAGCCAUGCCGCGUGCAGGAAGACGGCCUUCUGGGUUGUAAACUGCUUUUGCCAGGGGAGUAAAAGAACCAUGCGUGGUCAAUUGAAGGUACCUGGUGAAUAAGCCACGGCGUAACUACGUG
rnacentral:rRNA from 1 species